UGCCAGCAGCCGCGGUAAUGCGGAGGGUGCGAGCGUUAAUCGGAAUUACUGGGCGUAAAGCGCGCGUAGGCGGCAAGGUCAGUCGGAUGUGAAAGCCCCGGGCUUAACUUGGGAAUUGCAUUCGAAACUGCCUAGCUAGAGUAUGGGAGAGGGAAGCGGAAUUUCCGGUGUAGCGGUGAAAUGCGUAGAUAUCGGAAGGAACACCAGUGGCGAAGGCGGCUUCCUGGCCCAAUACUGACGCUCAGGUGCGAAAGCGUGGGUAGCGAACAGGAUUAGAUA
rnacentral:rRNA from 1 species